UACGUAGGGUGCAAGCGUUAAUCGGAAUUACAGGGCGUAAAGCGUGCGCAGGCGGUUUUGUAAGUCUGACGUGAAAUCCCCGGGCUCAACCUGGGAAUUGCGAUGGAGACUGCAAGGCUUGAAUCUGGCAGAGGGGGGUAGAAUUCCACGUGUAGCAGUGAAAUGCGUAGAGAUGUGGAGGAACACCGAUGGCGAAGGCAGCCCCCUGGGUCAAGAUUGACGCUCAUGCACGAAAGCGUGGGGAGCAAACAGG
rnacentral:rRNA from 1 species